rnacentral:lncRNA from 1 species
UAUUUCUCAAAUACCUAAGGAUGUCCUUUCAAUGAUUCUAACUCAGAUCUUGCAGGUAUCCACUCACUAUCCUAGUGAGUAUACUAUAUUCGAUCUCAUAUAUAGUGUAUAUGAUAGAACAACUUUUACUCAUAAACACUCUAUAUACGUUGGACUGGGAUAUCCAAGCAGCCUCUUAGAUCUAUCUUUAUAGAUCUUCAUCCCUAGGAUGAGA